CCUUCUCACAUCGUCUACUGCUGCUGAUGAAGAUAGAAAGGUAACCCUAGUCAUGUCAGAUUACAUCGAUAUUUAGGUGGAGGAUUUGGAAUGUACUGUUCCAUUUGCAUGCAGAUUUAUGUUGGAUAUAUGGGAGAUCACACCUCGUCAAUGUUCUCGACCGAGGCUCUCCAUCUUAAUCUACUUGGUCGAGUGCUUGAGGGCUGGUAAUUCUCUCUCGCGGAAGAUGAAAUCUCUUGACAUGUCAAGCACAUGAAGAACAACACUAUGUUUCGUGGUGCAGUUCACCCAGAGAGUCUAUGAUCUAUAGCUACACGAAGAGCUUUAGUGGACUUGCAGCGAGACUCACUGCCAAAGAGAAGAAAAAGCUUGCUGCAAUGGAGGGUGUGGUGUCAGUGUUCCCCGGCAGAACGCUAAGACCUCGCACAACGAGAUCAUGGGAUUUCCUGCGCUUCUCUCGAACCGUGAACCGGAAUCCUCCUCUGGAGAGCGACGUCGUCGUCGGCAUGAUUGACUAUGGAAUCCGGCCGGAAUCCGACUCUUUCCAUGACGAAGGGAUUGGACCUCCUCCACGUAAAUGGAAGGGUGCCUGUGUGAAUCUCAAAUGCAACAAGUACGCAUCUCUUCUAGCUCUGCAUCGUUGCUUCCAUCAAACACUGCGCGCUAAAUCCGAUUGUGCUGUGUCGGCAAAAUCAUUGGGGCUCGAUUCUACAACAGCUACAAGGAUGCCUCGCACGAAGCCUCUCCACGCGACUUCGACGGCCAUGGAUCCCAUACUUCCUCCACCGUCGCCGGUCGAAGCGUUCGUAACGCCUCGCGGGUGGCACCGCGAGAGGAGCCGUGUACAAGGGCUGCGCGACGCAGGACAUCUUGGCCGCCUUCGACGACGCCAUUGCCGACGGGGUGGACAUAAUCUCCCUGUCACUCAGCUACGCCUGGGUGCAGGUUUACUUCGAGGACGCGAUGGCGAUCGGUGCGUUCCACGAGAUGAAGAAGGGGGUGCUUACGUCGGCCACAGGCGGAAACGACAGCCCCGACCGUGGCCAACGUCGCUCCGUGGAUGCUGGUUUCAGCGGCAAGCACCAUUGACAGACGCAUCAUAGACAAACCGGUCAUAGGAUCAGAACAGAGGCCCAUCGAGGGAGCUUCUAUCAACACCUUCCCCGCCGAGAAGAGGUCAUACCCCUUUAUGUUCUUGGGAAAUUGAACCUUUCCACCAAAGCAAUUCGAUGAUUUGGAACAUACGUGACACCAAGUAAGUCUCAAUCUUGAAGAUGCAUGAGAAGAAGGGGUUCGUGGUGACCGUCUCCGGAGGGCCGCUGAAGAUGAACUCCGUCGCCUCUGCUUCCAUCACAUGGUCCGAUGGCAAGCACAGAGCGAGGAGAGUAUUAGUCGUGUAUACCGAUUUCUCUUCACAGUAGAAAUCGCACUCUCUCUUUCUCUCUCUAGUCAGUUUAUUGUUUUUGUCUUGUGCUAAUUAUUAGUGUAAUUAACAUAAAUAAGAUUGUCAAAAGGAUUAUGAUGCCACAUAAACAUUAAAGUAUAGAAUUUCUUGAGCAACUCAACCAAGAUCAAGAAGAAAAUAGAAAAAAAAGGAUAAAAUUGAUCUCACAGAUCAAGCUUUCUUCCUUAGUAAAUUAACAUUUGUCUGUCUGCCUUGUCAACCACACCAUAUCUUCAAGAUGAUGCCUUUAAGGCAGCAAAUCUUCUGAUACAGAUGCAUGAAACCUUUCUGUCAAAAUAUGAACUUUCCAGCUCAGUGAAUCUAGUUUCCAAGAUUUCCUAGCUGGGGAAUUUAAUGAUCACCUAUCCACAAUUUAAAUCACAACACCUCAAAAUCUUAAGAAAAUAACAAUAUGAUGACUGAAACUAGCUAUAAAAAGAAUUUGCAAAUGGUGCAUUCUUAGCAAGUGCUCUAAGGAAAAUCUACUUGGUUUAUCCACAUAUUUUGCAAGUAUGAAACAUCUUUUUCCUCAUCCUAGGUUCUUUUUGUGGGACUUUUUCUUGUUGUUGCUUCAAUGAAUUCAUGGCAAUCAUCAUCAUCAUAAUCUAAUUUUUCUCUCUUGUUAAUUACUCUCAUUCAUGGGCAGAGACAUCUGUGAUGAACUCACACUUCAUGUUCCUCUUGGAGUAAUCAAUUUUUUUUCCUUGUUAUCAAUGUUCUGGAUUUGAUUGCUCCUACUCAGGCUUGAGCAUGUUCAGUUUGGAUUUUCCUUCUAAAUUCUGUUUCUUUUGAGAUAGAGAAUGCCAACUUGAAUCUUUCAGUAGUUUGUUUCCAGCAGCAGCAUGUCCUGCAAGAAAUGGCUAAUCUUUCAGUAGUUUGCUUCCAGCAGCAGCAUGUCCUGCAAGAAAUUACAAAGCAAUGAUGUUCUCAUGCCUAAUGGACAGAUCCAAAACCCAAUUGUUCCCACAGAUUCAUCUUCCAGUGGCAAAGCAAAUCGAAAAGCUCGCCUUCGAUGGACUCCUGAGCUCCAUUUCAAGUUUGUUGCUGCUGUACUGGAGCUUGGAGGGGCCACUGGUUUGAUUUCUGCCUUCCACAGUUCAUCAAUCUCUGUUGUAUAUGACCUAUAAUGGUUAUGCCUCUAAAGAGGGAGUUUUGUUGAAAUAGAAUGGAUCUAAAGUUCAUUCUUGUAUUGGAUAUCCAAAAUUUUCUAGAUCAAGACCAAAGAGUCUUAUCAGUAAGAGUUGCAUAAGCGCAACUCUGAGGAUGAUGACACAGUGCAGAUUUAUGAUCAAACAGGACAACAUAUUAGCUCAACCUUUUUCCAAUCACAGCUAAAGUUCAAUAGCAAGAAUAUGUGGAGUACAGGAUAUUGUAUAAACAUAACAAUUUGGGUUCUAUACACAUCUUUGUCAUUCUUCAAAGACAUCCAUCAAAGUUAAACUUGGGAAUUAUGAUGAAACUGCAGAUGCAAAGCCCACAGCCAUCAUACAGGCAAUGGAAAGGAUGGGAGUUUGUGGCCUUACUCUUAACCAUAUAAAAAGUCACCUACAGAAGUAUAGAACUGCUUAUUAUCAACACAAGAAUGAAGGAAGGAAGAAAGCAGAGUAUGGUAGAAUUUGCUUGAACUGUUUCUUCAUUCAGUAGAUUAUUUGGUCUGCUUAAGAAGCAAAUGACUUCAUUACAAGGAACCUUCAAACCCUAAUCUUUUACAUGGAGCAGCUUUGGACAACAACAUGAAUUCAUGAAAAAUGGAACCCUGUUCCCCAUUAUUUUCCCCACUCAUGCCACCAAGUAAGAUGAUAGAGUAGUUCUGCUUGUUUCAUGAACAUAAGAAUGAACAUUAAAUACUUUGUCUUACUUCAGGUAAUAAAUGUGU